GGCAAAAGUAACCACAAAAAGAAUGUAAGAGAGAGAGUGAUACAUGACCCACUAAGGUAGCAUUUCACAUGGGAAGGGCAAUCCCUUCCCACCAUGGGAAAUGUGGUUUUUUACCUGCAAUAGCAAGUCAAACAGGUUGCCAUUGGUUUUGUUUGGAAUUGCACUUGAGACAAAAAAAUGAUUAAUGGACUUAUUAAAAACUUAAUUGUUUGUUUUUUUAUUUCUUUUUCAUCUUCAUCUUCUUCCUCACCCUCUUUUUUCUAUCUCAUCUUUUUUCCAGCAACACAACAUCAACACAACAACAACACAACAAUCUCUUCUUCUCUUCUUUCCUGGUUGUUCCAAUCCAUCCCCUUCUCAUCAAUUUUCAAUUUUUGGAUCAAGCAUCAACAACACAUCAAUUACAACACAUCAUUAACAACAACAACAACACAAAAUUCUUCUUUAACCCAAUUCCAAACCAGAAAAACAAAAUCAAAUGAAAUUUGAUUCGGAAACAACAACAACUUCAACGUAAAACAACAACAACAACUUCUUUAAAAACAAAUCAUCAAAUUAAAAAUCAACCCAGAUUGCUUCCUCUUCCAAUCGAAAAUCAAACCCAAGUGGUUAAAAAUCAAUUCCAUGUAUGAAGAAUCAAAAACCCAUAUUCAAAAAUUCUCUCUUUCAAAAUUCGAAAAUCCUCUCUUUCAAUUUCUUGACUGUGUUGCUGUUUCUUGAUUGGAGGGGUGGAGGGUAUGAUCUGGAAGAAAAGAAAUAGAGAGAAGAGAAAAGAGAAGAGAAGGAAGAAGAAAAGGAAUAACAAAAAGAGAGAAAGUGGGAUAGAAUAGAAGGAAGAAGAGAAUAGAGAAGAGAAUGAUGAAGAUAAUAGAAGGAAGAAGAAAAGAAAGAAGAUAAACAGAGAAGGUGGGAGAUAAGAGAAGGAAGAAGAGAGAAGGGGAUUACGCUGGAGAAGAAGAGAGAAAAAGAAAUGAGAUUUUUUUUUUUUUAAUUUAUCAUUAAGGGUAUUUUAGGUAUUUCAUCUUUUUAACAUAAUUUUAAAAAUUAAAAAUUAUGACGUGUCAAUGCCAUUUCACCAAUUACUACACAGUCAGCGUGCCACAUCAGCUCAUUAAUCCAGUCAGAUGACAUCAGGGGUGUAAACCAAAGAAUCUUCAUUUUACAAGGGGAUUACACUCACAAAAUGAGGUGUACCAGUACUCCUGCUUCUUAAUUUUAUAAAUGAACAAUAAUAUUUUAUGUAGUAAAUAGCUAUUUGUCAAUAUUUAUAUUUUAUAGAACAACAUUUCAUAAUAAAAAACAUUAUUUAAUUAUUU
rnacentral:lncRNA from 1 species